CCGUCUUGUCUUACAAUCUUCUCCCUGCUUCCGCCUUCUCUGCCCUCCCAAGCGGGCCAGAUGGUUGGUUCUACCAUAGGUCUGUCUUGUCUUACACUCUUCUCCCUGUUUCUGCCUUCUCUCCCUCCCAAGCGUGCCAGAUGGUUGGUUCUACCAUAGGUCCGUCUUGUCUUCCUCUCUCAUCCCUGUUUCUGCCUUAUCUCUCCUCCCAAGCGGGCCAGAUGGUUGGUUCUACCAUAGGUCCGUCUUGUCUUGCAAUCUUCUCCCUGCUU